rnacentral:lncRNA from 1 species
AUGUUUAAAUACACGGAACCCCGAAAAGUGGCAUUGGGAAUUGAUCAAAACAUGACACAAAAAUUUGCAUACUACAUACCAGUUGCAGAAACUCUGAAGAGCUUUCUACAGUCAGAUUUAUGGAGGAAUACACAGGCACAACAGUUUGGUGAUCCUGAUGUAGAGGUUUUUACCGAUUUAUAUGAUGGACAAAAUUUCAAAUGCCACCAGUUCUUUAAUGAAAACCCUGAAAGCCUCAAACUGAUUUUGUACCAAGAUUCAUUUGAAGUGGUGAAUCCCCUGGGUUCUGGUAAAAAGACGCACAAAGUGCUUGCAGUCUAUCUUUCAUUAGCAAAUUUACCCAUCCAUUUGCGUUCCAAUACUGAUAAUAUGUUUUUGGUCUUGUUAUGUGUUGAGAAUGACUUUAAGCGUUUUGGAAUAGCCAAAGUUUUCUCAGAGUUGUUGGCAGAUCUGAAAUCCUUGGAGACGGAUGGAAUAAAUGUAGAUGGGGAAACAGUAAAAGCGGGUCUUUACUGCAUUGCUGGGGAUAACUUGGGUUCUCAUUGUGUAGGCGGGUUUACAGAAAACUUCAGCACCUCUCAAUAUUUUUGCAGAUACUGUGAAAUCACAAGAACUGAGUUUCAUGCUGAUCCGAAUGCCUGUGGUCCUCCACGCACCCCAGAGACGUAUGACACGGCUGUGGAGGGUCUCCAGGCUGAAGACAUCCAAUGUGUCAGAGGAAUAAAGGCAAACUCUGUCUUUAAUACCCUUGAGUCUUUUCACGUCUCCCAGCCUGGUCUCCCUCCUUGUUUAGGCCAUGACCUCUUUGAAGGAGUCUUGUCAUAUGAUCUAGCACUGUACCUGAAGAACAUUAUAAAAAAGAAAAAAUGGUUCACAUACUCCCUCUUAAACAGGCGCAUCAAGCAGUUUAAGUAUAAAGGAUCUGAAGCGCUCACAAAGCCAUGUGCUGUCAAACCUGACGGAGCAAAGUUAUCAGGGCAAGCCGUUCAAAACUGGAACCUUUUGAGAUUGCUACCAGUUUUGAUUGGUGACAAAGUUCAAAACCAUCAGGAUGAAGUAUGGCAGUUAGCUCUCCAGUUAAAAGACAUUGCAGAUCUUAUUUGUGCUCAGAAAAUGUCCUUGUCGCAGAUAGCAUAUGUUGACAUUUUGAUCCAAGAAUAUUUGGAGAUGAGAAAGCUGUUGUUUCCUGAAAUUCAACUAAAACCCAAGCACCACUAUUUGCGCCAUUAUUCAGCACUGUUGUUGAAAUUUGGUCCAUUGAUGAGGUUAUGGACCCUUAGGUUUGAAAGUAAACACAGUUAUUUCAAAAGAUGUGCCAGACACUUGAAAAUUUUCAAAAACAUUUGUCAAACUUUGUCAGAGCGUCAUCAGAUGUAUCAGGUUUUAGCUGGGCAAGAAUGCGGUACACUACUGCAAGUGAAGGAGAGCUGUGCGUUUUAUCCCAACCUCUACAGUGACACUAUCAAACAUGCAGUCAGGGAGUUAGCCUUUUCAGAAAACGAUACCAAAGUUACCACAGACAUUCAGUAUAAGGGCACUGCAUAUAAAAAAGGACAGUUUCUUGUGUACAGAAAUGAUGAGUACAUGGACUUUGGUGAACUUCUACUCAUCUUGAUUCAAAAUGACACAUCUGUAUAUUUUGAUGGAUAUCCACAAAGGCACCUUCCUCUCAGAAUACCAUCUGUAUUCUGUGACAAAGGACAGUCUUGGGUUACAGUGUAUCAACAUUGA